GGGCACACACACUCACAUACACACAAACACAAGGACAUAAAAGCUAGGGAGAAGAAAUGUGUUCAUGAAUGAGGGAGGGCGAAUGAGCAAGUACCAAAAGCCACUAUAAACACAUAUGAAGCUGUGAAAGAAUAAAUCAUAAAAUUUAAAAAUAUAAUACAAAAACACACUACUAUGAUGAGAAAGAUUUUAUUCUAGCUAUUCACAGAUGGUUGCAAAUUAGGAAAGAUGCUGAUAUAAUUUAUCAUAUUUAUAGUUAAAAAUAUUACGAUCAUUUGGAGAGUCUCAAAUGCAUAUUUGAUAGACAGCAAAACAGUAACCAGUGAGCAAAUACUGGGGGAAAACGUGAACAUUUGUGUCUUUGAGCCAAGGGUCUUCUUCUUUUUUUAAUUUUAGGUUAUAUUUAUUCAUCUAUUUGUUUAUAUGUGUGGCAUAUGCCACAGCCUGUGUGGAGGUCAAAGGACAGCUCACAGGAGUUGGUUUUUCCUUUUACCAUGUGGGUCCCAGAGCUUGGAGACUGAGCUCACAUCACCAGGUGUGGGGGCAGGCUGCUUGACCACUGAGCCAUCUCCUUGACCCACCAGGACUUUCUUAAUGGCAGCUUGACGAGACAAGACCAGAAUGUCAGGAGUUAGAAUUAUUAUUUACAUAUGCUAACAUAUAACAUAUAAAUAAGAUAUUAUGAUGAUAAAAAUGAGAAGUGUAGGGGUUGGGAAGGGUGGAAACGGAGGGGGGUGGAUUUCAUAUCUAAAAACUAUAGAGAACACAGUAAAGAACAAAUAGCCUAUCAGAUUGGAAACUAACACACAGAAACCAAUAGUUUUCAUAUCAGGCUCCAUUUAUAGCAGCCACAAAAAUAAUAACACAUCUAUGAAUAAAUUUACCAAGGAAAUUUGCAGCUUUAUCAGGACAUAAAUGGUCUCUGAAACAAAUCCAAAGAAUAGACAGUGAAGCCAGAUGGUGGUAGCACAUACCUUAAUUCCAGCAUUAAGGAGGCAGAGGCAGGAGGAUCUCUGUGAGUUCCAGACUAGCCUGGUUUAUAAAGUGAGUUUUAGGACAGACAGAACUAUACAGAGAAAUCCUGUCUCAAAAAACAAAACAAAACAACAACAACAACAACAAAACCCAAAAAAACAAAACAAAACAAAAAAAAGGAAUGAAAAAGGAAGAUUAUAAUUUCAAUCCAUAUCUAAUAAAAAAACCACAUUUUUCUGCACUAAGAUCAGUUGAUUUUUCCUUUAUAAUUUAGAUUGUUAAAGGAAAUAAGAGAAGGAACUAGUUUUCAGAAAUUAAUACGUCUUAGAGUGCUUCAGAAAUCACAGCUGUCUAUGUCUAUUGGAUCUUAGAACUCAGGUCUUAGUGUUCUAUUGCUGUGAAGAGACACCACUACAAUGGCAAUACCUAUGAAGGACAAUAUUUAAAUGGGGCUGGCUUAUAGUUGAGAUUUAGUCCAUUAUUAUCAUGACAGGUGCUGGAGAAGGAGCUGGAAGUUCUACAUCUUUCUCUACAGGCAGCAGGAAGAGACAGUGAGCCACUAGGCCUCGAUUGAGCUUCUGAAACCUCAAAGCCCACACCCCAACGACAUAUUUCCACAAGCAAGGCCACACCCACUUCAAUAAGGCCACACCCACUCCACAAGGCCACACCUCCAAUAACACCCUCUCUAUGAGACAUAGAGCCAUUUUGUCAAACCACGAAGUACCGGGAAAGUGAAGCAGGGUUGGCAUCUUAAGCCCAGAAGGAUGGAUGGCUGUGGUUACGUCUAGGGCUCUAUGUUUACCUACAUAUAGGAAAAAUUUAAAUAGACUUAAAGACACAAAUAUAAGAACAAAGCCACAAUAGCAGGGUUUACUUACAACUUUGAGGUAGAAGAUGACUUUCUACCUCACAAAUGACACAAAAAUCCAGAAACCACUGAGUAAAAUAUAUAGUUAGUUUCAUGUGCCAAGUCGGAUGGGUCUUAGAGCCCAGAUAUUUGAUCAAACUUUUUUCAGAACAUUUGUGUCUGAGCAAAAUGGUUCGUCUUCCCUAGGGCAGUUGGGCACAUUAGUUGAAGUCCACAUUGCUACCUCUGAGCAGGAGAGGAGCCGUCCAGCUCCGGCAGUGACUCCCUGUGGGUGUUUAGCUAGGCAGCCUGCAGCCUGAGGCUUGGCAGCCUCCAUGGCUAUGCAAGCGAAUCCUCUGCAAGUCAAUCUACAUGCCCGUUGCAUUGUUUGUUUCCCUACAAAAGCUUAACGAAUACCGAGAACCUUGCGAUAAAGAUCCUGUGUACAGAAAGAAAUUUGGUUUAUAUGCCAACAAAAGUCAGAAACAGAUAAAUAUAGCGAAGUUGGUCUAUUGGAAAAGUAAAAACUGCUUCUCUUCAACGGGAAGACAAACAAAUAAACAAAGAAAGGUCUGGUCUUUUUGGAGAAUGAGGCCCUGGCAGGCAGGUCCUGAGAGUGAAAAAUGAAUGGGAGCCUGAGAAGGAAGCAGGGCCCAUAGCCUUACAUGGCCCCUUCACUUUAUCGAGGACCCGCAGCCUCACAGGACACUCAGCUUCAUGGUCCCUAUACUUCAGAAAAAUUCUCAUUAGCACUUGUGACUAGAUAUAACCAGAAAAGUCUUAGAGCAUUAUUGUUCUUAGUUCCAGAGUGACAGAAUUCCAAAAGUAAUAGCUGUUAUUGGUGAGAGCAAGUGUAUGAAUAUUGAUAAUAGGAACAUGGACCAGGGCAACGCAUAUGGCAGAUAAAGGGAUGGCAACUGCACCCGGCUCGUAUCUUCAGCAUCACACAUUCCAGGAAGAUAUACAUAACAUAUGGUCAUACGCUAAGUGACAUAUUCACUGUGAUUCAGGCUUAUACGAAGAAGUAACUAGAAACAUACCAAAUUUCAUGAAUAAGGAACUGGAUGUACAAAGCAUGGCAAACAUAUCUGAGAGAUAAGGGGUUUUAUGUAUAGACCUGCAAAGCCAAUAUUCAGGAUCUGGGACGGUGAGUCCAAGUCACCCAUAAAACAUCCAUCACUCUUAUAAAGCUGGGAGGGCAGUAAACGUUCCUUAUCUAUUAUUAUUAAUUAUUAUUUAUUUCUUAAUACAUGUAUUAUUUCUUUAUGUCCCUUUGGUUGUGAUCAUGUACUGCAGCACCAUUAGAAACGGAUGCAAGCCACUGAUCUAAGCCACCGGAAUUACUUACGUCUGCUGCUAAGAUCUGUCUCGGCAGCCCACACAUCCCAGUUUCUAGACAUCUCACCAUGCCUUCCACAAGUGUUCCCACCCUUCCCUGAGGGUGGGGUGUGUUCCAAGACCUCUGCUUUGAGAACCGGUCCCACCCGCAUCUCCAUAGUACAUGUAACAGAAGCAACUCCUUCAAAGCCAGAGCUCAGGCAUUCCCUUCAAGUUCUUGGAAGGAAUCGCAAGUCUCUGUUCACUUUUGGAGUCAAUAGAAUCCUUUAAUGCAUUGGUUCUCAACCUGUCGGUCGCAACCCCCUUGGGGUUUGAAUGACCCUUUCACAGAAGUCACCUAUCAGAUAUCCUACACACCACAUAUUUAUAUUACGAUUCAUGAGAGUAGCAAAAUUAUAGUUUUGAAGAAGCAACAGAAGUAAUUUUAUGGGGGGCACCCCAACAUGAGGAACCGAAUUAAAGGGUCACAGUCUUAGGAAGGUUGAGAACCACUGUGCUAAGGAGUGGGGAGAGCAGCCACGUUUCUUUCUUUGAAACAAUGAAGAAAAGAGGUCAAUUAAAAUCAAUGCGGUGCAUGAUACUUUUAGCAAGGCAUGUCGUGCCAGCAUGUAACGCUAGCGUGGACAGUAGAGGCAGAGGGUCAGGAGUGAAGAUGGAGGUAGGGGUUGGUAGUUUACUGGCUGAAACACAUAGACAUUAAAAACAUAACAUAAAAGUGUUUCAGGACAGACCGAACUGUGAGGACUGUUAAUAGUGUCACGAAGAAUUUUGUCGUGUUUGGCGUUAAAGGCUUUGUAUUAAAGUGAUGUUUUUAUUUUUAUUUAUUUAUUUUUUAUUUUUGGCAUACUGAUUUAUUUCUUACAUAUAUACGCACAAGUAGGAUAUUUUGAUCAUGUGAUAAUUUUUCUUUUUUUCUUUUCUUUUCUUCUCCUUUCUUUUCUUUUUUAUUUAAACAAUUUUCUUCAUUUACGAUUCAAACGCUAUCCCAAAAGUCCCUUAUACCCUCCCCCCUCCCUGCUCCCCAACCCACCCACUCCCACUUCUUGGCCCUGACGUUCCCCUGUACUGGGGCAUAUAAAGUUUGCAAGACCAAGGGGCUUCUCUUCCCAAUGAUGGCCAACUAGGCCAUCUUCUGCUACAUAUGCAGCUAGAGACACGAGCUCAGGGGGUACUGGUUAGUUCAUAUUGCUGUUCCUCCUAUAGGGUUACAGACCCCUUCAGUUCUUUGGGUACUUUCUCUAGCUCCUCCUCUCAGGGGCCCUGUGUUUCAUCCAAUAGAAGACUGUGAGCAUCCACUUCUGUAUUUGCCAGGCACUGGCAUAGCCUCACAAGAGACAGCUAUAUCAGUGUCAUGUCAGCAAAAUCUUGCUGGCAUAUGUAAUAGCGUCUGUGUUUGGUGGUUGAUUAUGGUGUGGAUCCCCGGAUGGGGCAGUCUCUGCAUAGUCCUUCCUUCCGUCUCAGCUCCAAACUUUGUCUCUGUUACUCCUUACAUGGGCCUUCUUCUUGAGUUUCAUGUGUUUUACAAAUUGUAUCUUUUUAUUAUGUUCUUAAACAUUGCUUUUUAAAAUGACUAUGUGUGUGUUCAUUCAUGUGCGUGCUCAUGCUCUCACUCUCAAUUGCUCACUCACUAGCGCGUGCAUGUGCAGUCUAUAAGGAAAGUGAAGUCAUUAACAGACUCAACUAUACUUUCUCUUUAAAUAGCAACUUUAAUGCCCUAUACCCCUUUAUGCCUUUAGGACUUUUAGUUGCUGUUGAAAAUAAAAAUGCUUCAUAGAUUUGCUUUUAUUGAAGUUUCCCCUUUAGCAUCUGCGUUAUAUAAACAAGUAUUUGUUAAACCGAAGGAGAUGAUGUUGCCGUACACAGCCUCUGAGAACUGAAUAUGUCAUCACGGUGUUUCUUCAAGUCUUCUUGAUGGUUGCAGUAAGUGUGUGACCUUCCUGGGAGCUGCCUGGCAUUGGGUUUGGACAGUAUGGCUUCCCUCCCCAGGCUCCUCCUAGCGUCUCUUUCAGCUCCAGCUGCAGGGCUGGGACCAAGAGUGAGCACUGUUUUCAGACAGACAGCCAGGGGCUCUGAAUUUUUUAUCAUGUUUUCCUAAACCUUCCUCAGCUCUCCCCCUUAGUUAUUCUUCCUGUCUCUCAGCCUGUGUAUUUAUUUAGUUGCUCCAGCAUCUUUGUCAGAGCCUACCAAAUAAUUGACUUUAAAAGAGCAGCCAGCUAUUGAUCUGCCUUGGUGGCUGGUUGAAAUUUGCCUGAUUUUAGACCUUCAUUUGCCAGACGUCAGUUGUUUCCCCUGAAUCAUUUCACGUAGGCAACAACAAAUCUUUAUUCAGUGUCUCCUGGAGGUCAGCCUUUGCUCGAGGCACCUAGAGAGAUCUUGUUCCUACAUUCAUGGAGACUACACGCUACUGGAGUGACUUGUGGCUAUUUCCUCUGUAAUGGUACACUCCUUAGAAGAGGGAAGGCAUGAUGCAUUGGCACACAGCAUGGUAAGGAAGGCAGUUUGCUAAAAGCAUAAUAGAAUAUUAGUCUCUAAGAAAAAGUAAGCAGGGCUGGGCAUGUGCACACGAGUGUCUUUCUGUGUGUGCAUAUGUGUAGGUGUGUGCACAGUACACAUUUGUGUACAUGAGUGUGGAGGUAGGAGGUUGAAUUGACCCUUUUCUCAAUCACCCUUCACCUCAUUUUUUUGAGAGAGAGUAUGUUCUCUCACUGAACCCAGAGUUCACCGAUUCCGCCAGACCAGUUGGCUAGCCAGCUCCAGGAACGCUCCUGCCUCUGCCUUGUGAGGGCUAAGAUCACGGGUGUGUGGCUCCACACCUGGCUCUUAACAUGGGAACUGGGGAGGUGAACUCCGAUUCUCAUGCUUGUAUGACCACCUGAAGCAUCUCCUUGUGUUCUCCUGUGCCCAUAGGCAAGAAUAGAAGGUAUGAAUAAACAACUGCAGGGGCAUUAAAAAGUUAAAAAUAAAAAUCAAGCCAGGAAAAAAAAAAGACAAAGAGAAAAGAUAAAGUGAUAUCACACUAUCAUUUAAAGUGGGAAAUAUACAAUUAUAUUUAUGCUAAAGCAUCAAAAAGUUCCAAUAAAUACCAAAAGACAUCUGGACUCAAAGUUUCUAUUCAUCGACUAAGUAUGGAUAUUUUCUCAUAUGUGUCCUACAGACCUACAAGGAUGAACACAGGCAGCAAAAAGACGGCCCAUGAUCGCUGUCGUCCAAGUAGCCGGGAAACUGAAAGAGUCACCAUCUCAUUUUUCCCACUUGUAGGGAAAUGGUUUGGAACCUACAGGGCCAGCACAGCAGCCCUUGCUACAGGAAAAGGUGAGACAAAGUCUGAGACAGUGAUGUGGGCGAGACCUUACCCGCAACACCCCAUGUCUGCGUGCAACCAUGUGGAUGAAGCCUUGGGGAGCUGCCUUGAGUGGAUGCAAUGGCCGAAUUCAACCUGGUUGGACUGGAAGCAGACAGAGCUUCGUAAAGCUCCUCACCAGGGACCCAUUGCACUCAGCAACAGUCAGUGCUUUGCUGUCAGCAAACACUGUGUGUGAGAGGCAGCUUUGACCAUGGUGCGUCAGAGUUCCAUACACCUGAUCCAGCAAGCUGUCACUGCCCUGACCCCACGGACUGCACAGGGAAGCGUGAUGGCUUCCCCGGCUCCAACGGUCACCCACGCUUCCAGCUGAUGGUCUCCUGGUCCUUUUUGUAUGGCUUAGUUGAUGCAAGAUAUUUCUUUUUGGAAGAUGCUUCAUGAGAUAGAUGGUCAUAUCAAUCUCUUUCUAACACUACAUGUUUGUUUUCUCUGUCCCCACAUCCAGCAGCAGCAGCUUAUGUGGCCUCCCCGCCCCCAUGGGGUUUGAAAUCUUCAGGCUCAUUUUGACCUUUCAACCCUGAUUUUAAUUAACCUCUGAGCCUACUGUUUUAAGACCCAUCCCAGUUUUCCUCCCCUGUCUUGUCUGUCACCAGCUUUCCAAUGCAGUCUUAUCUCCUAACGUAGGUUCCGCGUCUCCCUCACCAUAUUAUAUAACUCAUGUUUGCUGCUUUUGUCAUAUAACACUGUCAUUUCUUUGGGAGAAAAUUUGGCUCUAAAUUUCAUCAGAAUCACUAAUUUAUUGCCUGUAUACAGUAGAAACUUUAAGAGGUCUGGCUCAGUAGACUAGUCUAAUAAUCUAUCAUCAAAGAAUGCUAGUUAGUUAUCUCUUGCACCCUCUGCUCUCUUGUCUGUAAGUUGUGAAUAAUACUAAAAAGUUAUACAUGCAAUUGAUGAACUACAAUCUGUGUGAAGUACAGUUAGUACACCUGUACUGUAUAUACAAUGACAAUCAUCAGCACUAUCGUGAGCAUGUCACUGUCACUAUACUGACAGAGUUUUAGGUUCCUGUAUGCCCAUGAAUAUCUGGUGUAGCCUGGUGGAGGACCUGGCCUGGAAGUCAGAGAUGCAAUAUCUCUCUCACCUCUGUCCGUGACCUUGAGCCUGUGUGCAUGACCUUGGGUUAGUCAGAUGGGUAUGGACUUGGGGACAGGGCUGAGCCUCUCUGCACUCCUAUGAUUGAGACUAUGAUUGCACAUUGCUGUUUUGAGUCAGGUCCCUCAGUUUGAUCUGGGCUCUCAGUGACAGGCCCAUGGACUCGGGCUCAGUGUGGACUACUCGGCCAUCUUGGAGAUGUAUUGGUGAGUGCACAGAUAUAGGGCCACUGCACUUUGGCAAAUGCUGACUAUAGAAUGGUUAUGGCCUUCAGUUUAUGAUCUCAAUGGCUGUUUGGGCAUUUUGAGAGGAAAAUGCAAUGCCGGAGAGUUACAGAGGGGACACACCUGAUGGUUUUUCUCUUAGCUGAUUCUGUGGGAGGGACGCCUCUCCAGCUGAUCAACCUAGUGACACUUCUCCAACUCAUCCUCCCUGCAGACACCUCAGGUCACGGGACCAGUGGCCUCAAUUACAGAGGCAGGGAGACAGAUGCCAGAACCACACGGUUACAGUUGGAAGAGCCCUUGUCUAGUCUAAACAUUUGAUUUUACACAUGAGGGAACUUCAUCUCAGAGAGACCAGAGGACAGCUACAAGGUCACAGAGUUAGAAGUAGAAUUUGGCAUGGACAGCAUAGGUUCUGGAAACCCAGCUGAAAAUGUGUCCCACCUUCCCCAGGACCAUCCACAAGGGACGAAGACAAAAGUGAGCCCCAAAUAGGCAGCAUGUAGAACCUUCUAACCCUUCUGGCCCCCAGUCCUGAAAUAAGGUCUGAUUGAUCAAGACUGUUGGGGAAAGCGUUGACGGGAGCUUGGGGAGAGAAACACACUUUCUAAUUCUUCACUCCUGUGUGAAGAGCAAAGCUGUUGUCAUUAGGCUGUGUGUUGCAGAAUCCUAGAACGGGAGCAACUGGUGCUCGAGGUCUUUUUCUCUUGUGCUUAAGGACCUACUCAGCACCCUGUGGUGGCAGGUCAUGGGAGACAAAGAAUGUGGUUGUGUUUCCUGAAAUGUGUUUCCUGUCAUGACUCAGGGGCCCCUCCCUUGACACCAGCUCUGUGAGAGGACAGUCCCGGGAACAAGUCGGCAUGAGGCCUGGCACCUGGGAGGCUUUCAGAAAGCUGGUUGGAUGAGCCCAGAAGGCGUCGUGUGUCGGUGACUACAUGCCACAGAAGACGCAGUAGAACGUGAAUUGGCUCAGCAGUCGGAGCCCUGUAAGACGUGAUGAUCAGGCCAGUGGAGAGUCUAUGCUCUCACACUUGCAUAGGCUAGUCGAGUGGGGCGGGGCAGGGAGGGGGGAGGAGAAAGCUUUUCUCGCUUGUAUUCUCAUUUCAGUAGAGUAAGCACGAAUUUGUGGUUCAGUGGUUCCGCCUCUCACUGUGCUUUUCUUCCUCUGACUUCUUGCUCUUAAGUAGAAGUACCAGCCUGCAAUUCUGUUGGGGCAUUGUGCGUAAGCCGGUGUUUUUCUUCUGUCUCCUUUUCUCUGGAAUUUUCUUUUCUUUGGAGAGACAUGGCUACUGCAGGGUCUGAGGCCCACAGUGUACCUGAGGGAGGAACACCGAUAAGUGCUGAGGCAGGUUGACCACGGGGGAGACAGGAAGUCUCCCAUGGCGGAGCCUGGUAACCAUCAAAUCCCCUAUAUCGCUCUGGAAUCUUCCUUGCUCAUUUGGGGUCAGGUGACUGAGUUGUUUCUCCAUCAGUAGACUGUGAGAGUGAGUGUCGUAAGUCACUUAUGAACCUGGGCUUGCUGACAUGCCUGGUGCUAAUGUCCAGCUCUUCCACAGCAACCUCACAGGCUACCACCAUAUGGGAAAGGGCUGUCUGAUGACUCUGGUCUACAGUGCAAAGACAACUCUACCCCUUGGGCCUUAUUUGUAACCGAAUCAUUACCUACCCCACCCUGGCUUUUUAUUCUAGUCUACAAAGCCCACCUCAUCUGAGGAGAGCACGGAGGCUGGAUUCUGACCGCUGUGUCCUCUUGGCUGUCUGGUUUGGGAGUGCAAAUGCACUGGUUCUGGGCAGAUGGUUGGUGGGGAAGUGGGUGUGUCCCCUUACGCUCCAUUCUGCUCGGAGUUCCCUGAGCUUCUGUCAUCUCCGUUCUCUUUAAGUGGAUACAAGAAGAAGUUUUAAGGAUGAAAAUGAAACUUUAAACACUGGAUGGUUUUGCGCUGUGAACUGUCAACGCUUUAAACUGUUUUCGUAACCCUGAUAAGCUCGGCAUUUCAGUCAUCUCAGAGAGAUUAAUUUUUGCUUAUUUUCAGAUAUAGUUGAGGUAUUUUUAAAAGCUACAAGUCAUUGCUGUUAGGCUGGGGACUUUUACAUUAUUAUUAAUCUGGAGGUAUGAAAUGUAUUCAUCCCAAACUUUGGGUAAUUAUAAUGAAAUUUUAAAAAAUUAACAAAUUCUGGGGCGGGAAAGAUGGCCCUGUGGUUGAAAGCACUUGUUGCUCUUUCCGUGAACCCGAGUUCAGUUCCCAGUACUUACACAGUGGCUUUCAACCAUUUCUAACUCCAGUCCAGGGUUCUGAUGGCCUCCUCUGGCCUCUUUGGGCACCAGGCAUACAUGGUGCACAGAUAUAGAUACAGGCCAAACACUCCUACAGACAAAAUACUUUUAAAGAAAGUUUUUGCAUUAUAAACUUGGUUUCAUUUUCAUUCUCUAUGUUAACCUGCCAUUAACAAGUGAGCCAUUGUUUUGACCUUGAAUCAUUACUAGAACGACCCAUGAUGAGGCAUUAGUAGAAGCUGGUUUGGUAAAUAUGCUUAUUAAGCUUAAUAUUUUAUAAAAUUGGAUGUUUUCAGUGCUUUUACAUAAAAAAUAUUGUAAUUGAUCAGUGAUAAUUCUAUAAUAUUCUGGUAAGAUAGGCUGUCUACUCCGCAUUGGGUAAGUGCAUUUGGGAUGAGACUGAAAGAUCCUGAGAGAGAAGAGUUAAAAAUUAUGUAAGCCCCCAGACUUGUGUCCAAAAUAGACCCCCACUAAUGGCAGGGAGUGAAAGUUUAACUCGCUCCAUUGUUCCAGGUUGUACUAACCACAAAGUAGAAGUUUAACUUGCUCCAUUGUUUUAGGAAAUGUUUGUACAGAAUACUCCAACCGUUCCUUGAACCCAUUUUGCUUGCCAAAUGCUAUAGCCCAUGCCAGGUGUUUGUGGUUUCUGCCUUUAUAAACCCCUUACCCUUUGAGCUGGGGGUCAACUCCUCUACCCCUGCAUGGGAUACGGGUCGUCCCCAGUGCACUGGCCUUUCCUGAUUAAACCUCUUGCUGUUUGCAUCAAGACCAGUCUCUCAUGAGUUCUUGGGCGUUGCAUCAUCCUGGGGCUUGAGUGAGGGUCCCUCCCAGUUCGGGGGACUUUCAAGACAAGUUACAUGUAUGAAAGAUUGUGCCUAUCACUCGGACACCUAGAGACACAGGGGCACAUACCCAUAAACUUUUGAAUGCCCCAAUGAGUUACUUAAAAUGUUAAGAUUAACAACUAGGACUGAAAUGUUUAUAGUCCGGCAGCCACCCUGGACCACUCUUGCAGAAAAGGCUCAGGAAACAAUUUGGGUUGAGGUAUUUUUCUUGUCUGACUCUUCCAAACACAGCUUUGUAUUAGCGUGUUCAAUAAACCAAGUAACACGCUCUCUGCAUCACUCCGAGCCAUUCUUGACCCUCAUUUCAUUCUAUUUGGAGGUAAUUACUUGCUGCUAAUGCAAAAUGCAAAAGACACCCUUAAAUUCAGCUGAAUUAUUAUGUAGAUUGGAAACCAGACCUCUCAACUCCUCUCUCACCAGAACUCUUUUGUCUACUUUAUCAAAUAGAAAAGUCCAUCUGAUUUUUCCCCCCCACGGGAGAGGAACCUUUCAUUUAUAAUAACAGCCUGUGCCUGGGACUCUUGGAAGAAAGGGGUGAGCUGCCUGGAGGAUGACAUCACAAGUGAAUGAAUGAAUGAAUGAAUGAAUGAAUGGGUGGGUAAUGGUGUAGAGGCUUAGUGUCAGAUCACAGAGGAGGAAUGCCGGGCUGCAGCCUCCACGCCUUUUCCAUACGGCGCAGAGAGAAUCCAGGCUUCUGUUUAAGGCCUUCUAAACAGAACCUGGGUAAUGUUGUUGUUGAUCUGCGUCUGGAUGGAGCUUUGCUUAUUAACUCAUUUAUAUUCAAAUCAAUCGUUUCAGUGAACUAAGAGCUCAUGUCUGGAUUAAUAGUACUUACAGUAAAAAUGGAGCAUGGGUUUCUCAGCCUCAUUCCAGGAAUCAAUAAGCAAACAACAGUAAAAGGCUAUUUUUUUUUUCCAUGACUACCUAACUGGCUUCCCAAACAUCCUCUUACUCAGAGGAAGGGAUAUUCUUCUAUUGCAGUAAGAGGCAGCGAGCACAUGGCUUCUGUUAGGACCAGUGGAGCUGCGUGCAAAGCUCAGUUGUCAGGAAGAAAGUUAUUUGCCACAGGCCUGAAAAACUUCAGCGGAUUCUACCAAUCAGGUCUUCCUGAACCAGCGAAUCACAGGGGAUUCUACCAAUCAGGUCUUCCUGAACCAGCGAAUCACAGAGGAUUCUACCAAUCAGGUCUUCCUGAACCAGCGAAUCACAGAGGAUUCUACCAAUCAGGUCUUCCUGAACCAGCGAAUCACAGAGGAUUCUACCAAUCAGGUCUUCCUGAACCAGCGAAUCACAGAGGAUUCUACCAAUCAGGUCUUCCUGAACCAGCGAAUCACAGGGGAUUCUACCAAUCAGGUCUUCCUGAACCAGCGAAUCACAGGGGAUUCUACCAAUCAGGUCUUCCUGAACCAGCGAAUCACAGGGGAUUCUACCAAUCAGGUCUUCCUGAACCAGCGAAUCACAGAGGAUUCUACCAAUCAUGUCUUCCUGAACCAGCGAAUCACAGAGGAUUCUACCAAUCAGGUCUUCCUGAACCAGGGAAUCACAGGGGAUUCUACCAAUCAGGUCUUCCUGAACCAGGGAAUCACAGAGGAUUCUACCAAUCAGGUCUUCCUGAACCAGGGAAUCACAGGGGAUUCUACCAAUCAGGUCUUCCUGAACCAGGGAAUCACGUGCACUGAUGGACUCGGCCCCUCACGGCAAGCAAAGUCCAGGAGCAUUGUAUUUCCUGGAAAUGGAAACGAAAUAUCUUCCAUAAAUUAAGAAGAUGGCAAGACAGUAAAUCAAGAUUAGACAUGUGGGACUGGGCAUUAUUUAUUUUUCGCAGAGUAGAAAAUUAACGUCUACAAAGUAUAGAAACAUUUCAAUCAAAAAUCAGGGAACAGUGAGUGAUUGAUAACCCAGGCUCAUAUCUGUAGACCAUGCUUCCUUCUAUGUUCUUAUUUUUCCAGUUCCCGUGACUUUUCUUCUGGUCUAUUCAAAACACUGCUUCCCUGCAGCCUAGUUUUGAAAAUCUUAUAUAGCCCAAGCUGGCCUUGAACUUGCAAUGUGGUCCAGGAUGAUUGAACUCCCGAUCUUCCUGCCUCCACCUCCCGAGUACUGGGUUACAGGUGUGAGAUAUCACACUCUGAUUUAUGUGAUUCUAGAGGGAUCAACCUCUGGGCCUUAUGCACACAACGUCAGCACUUGACAAACCACACUACAUCUCUAACCUGAGCACAGCUUACAAAUCCUCUCCCUUUGCCCACACAAAAAUCACCCCGGGCAUUGCCUGCAAAGCACUUGAGUCCUAGCUAACAUUUUAGAGUGUUGGGGCCAGACCCACGCCCAAGGGAGAUUUCACAGACACUCGAUAUACACAAACCACUGCACAGACAUUUCCCCAGUCACCUUGGUAUUGUCAUGGCAGCCCCACUGUGUCGGGACAGAAUCUAGACUCACCCUCAAUUUUCUAAGAAAGCCACUUAGGAAGGACCAAGCUGCCCAGCGUCCCCAAGAUAUCAGUGAGAUCGAUUGAAUCAGCAUCUUACAUCUCACAAGAUGAUCUGGCCUUUGCCUAACUUGCUCUUACUCAGUUGCUAAACUUCCAAUCCCUCCAGUGAAUUCUGGCCAUAAAAUGUUAUAACCAUGGAUCUAAUAUGGAUACCUGGGAAGAAAAGUUGAUGGAAAGGCACAAGGGAACAUUUCUGUGGGAGAGCAAUGUCCUCAGAUUGGAUGCCAAACUGGCAGAGUCUAUAAGUGUUAACCUUCAGAUCUGCCCUUUCUCAAGGAAGCUGCUUUAUAGCAAGUGUUGGCCGAUCUUAAGAAAUUGAUUCAUUCUCCAGAUUUCAAUUCUGUAAUUUAUUCAUGCACACACUCAUUCCAUCCAUUCAAUAAUCAACAAAUGUGUAUCAAAUACAAGGCUGGAUUCUGCUUAAGAUACAGGGGUUGCUACAGUGAACAAAUGGACCCAGAUCUCUGUUCCUGUGUCCAUUUAAUCCUUGGCCAAGGAGGAGUUAUGGGUCAAUACUUGCUGGUGUAAGAACGGGAGUUCAAGGAGCAAGCUCACAUGUGCUCAGUACUGCAGACACCUCUGAUCUCUUCUUCCUCCUGUUGACUAAGCCCAGGUCCGUCGCCAAGCAACACUUCCUCUUUGCCAUUCGGCAUCUUAUGCUCAUCACAUCUCUUAGCUCCAUCUCGUCUUACAAACUAUUCACUGUGGACGUGAUACUGUAGCCUGCUCUUCUGUCUUUUAGGAAAGGAAAACACUUCUAAGGAGCUGUUGCUAGUGUUCUCAGACAGAACCCAGGCACUGUUGCUUGAGAUUCGGGCACCGUACAUCAGGGGAAGCGCCUCUGUGUCCUACCGGGAUGAAAACUGUUGCCUUGGGCAGCCUGGGGGUGACAGGACAAAUACCAGGAGCAUGGUCCCCUCUGUUCUUUUGAUCUGUCCACCUUUGGGGCCUUGUGCUGCUCAGCACAUGACUAGUAAAUAAAUCGCCUGCUGGGCCUAGGCUCUCCUUUAUGUGAAGUGUGCAAACCUCACCCUUAAAGAACGUGAUUCAGGGAUUUUUUUUUUUCACUUCAGAGAAACCCCAUGUGGCUGAGAUGUGAGCUCACUGAACCUUGGCUACUCACAGGCAUUUCUAUUCUAUCAGUUUCUAUGAAUUAGACACAUUACCUUGUCACAAUUCUGAGCUCAAAACUCAAUUUACAUAUUAGAGCAUCAUGAAAAAAAUAUUCUAGUCCAUAGCUCCUGAUGCCUUUAUCUCUGUUGAUAUGGGGAAAUUAGCUUGAUUCUUUCCCGGAUUUUAACCAAGGGCUGACUUCUGGGUAGGGCGAAUCCAGACAACCUAGAAAAUAUUUUAGGAGUGCAAGCUCUGUGGCAGAGGUGAGUGUGCCUGGGCCUCACUCUUCAGGGCUGGGAAGGCCAGCUUGGCUAAAUACAUUCCUAGUCAACUGUACUUUCAACUCAGUCUAAUGUCCUUUUUCAAUGCCAUGCCUUGCUAUUUUAAUAUGGAGGUCCCCCCUCCUCCACAAUUCCUGAAGUAUCACCCUGAGUAGUAGACAAGUCAGAACUUACCGUUAAAUAGCCUAGAUGCUUGCAAAUUGGCCACUGGAUGGUGAACAUAUGAUUCACAGAUAUGUUAACAACACAUAUAGGUGUGUGUCCGGGGAGCUGAUUUAGCAUAAUGGGUUAAGCCUACAGACUUCAGAGCCAUGCUGGGUUUGAACCCCACCUCUACCAUUAAAGUUCCCUGAAAAUGGGGCAAAUUAAUUAACCUGUCUCUAGCUCAGUUUUUCCAUGCACAAAAUGGAAAUAGCAGCAGCAUUUUUCAGACUGAUAUGAAGAAGAAAUUAAUACUCAGAUAUUUAGAGCAGUAGACCUCAGUAAACAGUGCCAUCGAUAGAGAUCAAAUGGUAAAAACCACCUGGUACUGCCUGUCAUGCGCUCUCUCUGAGAGGCCAUUGCUCACUGUUAUAACUUCAGGGAGAUGUGAGAGUCAUUCUUCACAGAACUGAAGACGGCCUCACGGGGACUUUUAAAAGGGUGGCUCAUCAGAUUGCCAAGUGUCUGCAGCAGACCUGAAGCCGCUGUGGAUCUCAACCCGGGCCCUGCCUAGACCUGGGCUCUGGAGCAGCUGCUCCAGAUGUCUGUAGAGGUCGGUAGUGAGAGCAGAGACGUCAAAGCCCUUUCAUGGAAGGAGAUGAGAACACCUGUGUCUUAUCUCAGCCUCGGGCUGUGCAGUACCUGUGUCUCCAUUGCGAUUGCCUCUCUCCAUUGUCAGGCGUGUUUCCCUCUGCCUCUCAAGUGUUCCUCAGCACCAUCCGGAGACACUCUACCCUUGUUAGUUCUUGUACUAACUUUAUGAAUGUCAAGGGGAUUUAUUUCCUGGGCCGUCAGGUAGCUUGAAAUAAGAGACAUUUGCUCUCUUGUUCUAGAGACCACAAGUCGGAGAUGAAGUUUCUGGAAGCACCACACUUCUCCCUAAGGCUGCAGGGUCAAACCCUCCUUGCUGCUUCCUGGUUUUGGUAGUUCCAGGAAAUCCCAGCCUUCCAGCAUCUCUGUCUCCAUCUUUCCAAGGUCUGUUCUUUUCCAUACCCAGUUUUUCUUUUCCCUCUCUUACAGGGGAAUUUACUGCUAGGUUUAAAUCAUACUUCGGCAAUCAGGGAUGGUCUCAUUGCAAGACGCUUAACUUUGUUAGAUCUUCAGGGAUCCUUUGACCAAAUAAGGUCACAUUUUCAGGUCCUGGGGUUUAGACAUCAGAAUGUCUUUCUUUCUCAACCCUCUCUCCCUGGUAAGAAUGACAACCUGAUUCUAAAGGUGGAUUGUGGGGUGCCAGCAGAGUCCUGUGUUCUCUGGGUGAAGUUCCUGUGGUGAGGGUCCAGUGUCUGCCCAGCAUGGGAAAGCACAUGGUGGAGACGGACUCUCGUCCAUUCUAUAAGGAGCUGCUGAACCUCCCCACAUGCCGCCUCUGUCACGUUCAGCACUAACUGCCAAGCACAGCAUGAGCUGUUUCAGAAAGCUCGUGGCAAGUGUUUAAGGGGCUGAUGUGGCCAAGACAUUUUAUAGUCUGACCUCCACUCAAGUUCACAUUUGUCAGCGUGGCCACAUGUCUGUCUUGUCUCCAACACCAACUGGUCGAUCUGUACUCAAUGACAGCACUUUUUAAUUUAAUGCUCCCAUUGAGACAAUUUUUUGAGGCUCCAUGUAAAAGUUAUCACACAGCCGUAAUUAAUCCACAGCAGCCCCGGAAAUGUGUAUGAGGGUCAGGCUUACAGUUUCUGUUUGAGCUUCAAUUUCAUUAGGAGAAAGCAAACUGGUGCUUCUAAGCUACUACUUGAGCCAGGCACGAAGGAGACAGCAUCCUGUGCCAUUACCACAGCAAGUGAGGAGGAAGCAGUGAAGGAGAGACAGAGGUGGAGUCAUGUAGAUCUGCUCUCCCAGGGUUAUGACUCACACUUCAGUUUCUGGUUUACCACUCACAACCCAAGCUGGUAAGUGACUUCUUUCUCUAUGGCUCAAGUGUUACAUAGCAAAGAUGCACACCAUAUCAUGUCUCUGGGCCCCUCCACUUAACAUAUUUAUGGGUGGGUGUAGCAGUGUGUGUAUGUGAUGUAUCUGUGUGCACAUGUGUUGUGUAUGUGAUGUAUCUGUGUGCACAUGUGUUGUGUAUGUGGUGUAUCUGUGUGCACAUGUGUUGUGUAUGUCAUGUAUCCAUGUGUACAUAUGUAGUGUAUGUGACUUAUCCAUGUGUACAUGUGUCAUGUUUGUGAUGUAUCUAUGGGCACAUAUGUUGUAUAUGUGAUAUAUCUGUGUGCACAUGUGUAUGUGAUGCAUCUAUGCACAUGUAUUGUGUAUGUAUAGUUGUGUGCACAUGUGUUGUGUAUAUAUUAUAUUUGUGUGCACCUGUGUUGCAUACAUGAUGGGUGUACAUGUGUACAUGUUAGAUGGUAGGUCAAAGCUGAUGUGCAGUGUCUUUCCUUCAUUACAUUCCACUUUUUUUUUUUUGACACAGGUCUAUAAUUGAACUGGAAGAUCAUGGAUUUGGCUAAAGUGACUGGCCAUCGAGAUUUAAAGCUUACUCUCCCCACAAAACAAAACAAACCCAAAAGGCAAAAAGCCCUGGUAUUGUGGGCAUAAGCCGGUGUGUCCAUCCGAGACCUGAUCUGGCGCCCUUGUGUCUGCACAUCAGCACCUUACUGACUGACCCAUCAUCCAGCCCCUUCACACAGGCCUUCAAUUACUCACUAAGAAAAUGCACACUGGGGAGUAUAGGGCUGUGAGUCUGGAUGUACACAAAUGUACCAGCUGACACUGUUACAACAUGUGCAAGCCAGGCUGGCUUUACUUACCAGGCAGAAGUCAUGGGUUUCACAUUAAUACAAUGCCCUCGGGUUCAGUGAUAACAGUGUCUCAAACAACUAGUAUUUAUUGAACACUUACUUUGCAUCCAUGUGGAGAAGAGAUGAAGUCCCGAGUGAGCAUAUAUUGUUGCCAUGAGCACAAACAUGUCAAGGACCCCAGAGCCCCAGACCCAUGGGACGAGCAAAGCCUUCCCUGGUCUAUGACUCAAUGGUACAAGUGAUUGAGCCUUCGCUAAAACCAGUGUAUGAAGAAACUUUCAACCACUGCCUUCUCCUGGGUGCCUGAGACCUGAAACUGCCCCCCUUCAGAGACCUCCUGUGAAAUUAGCUAGUCAGCCUCCUCGUCCAGCUGCUUGUGGUAGACAAGCUUCCUUGCUCAGUGGUACAUAAGAAGUUCACUCAGUUUCCUGGAUGCGGAUCUGUUUCCAUCAGCUUGCACAGUGCCCCUGAAGCCAGCGUUUCUGUAUGUGUGUCUGUCAUUUCUUCAUUCUCUGUCACCUCAGGUAGAUCAGCCUCUACAUACCAGCCUAACAGUGAUGGGCCUGAAUGUUCCCGGACUCUGAACACUGUAUUCUCUAGGUCUGGCCACUCUGGCUGUCUUUUCAGCUGCUGCCCACAACCACUUAAACUAGCAUGGUCUGCAGUAAGGAUGAUUUUAUUUAAGGCUCAGGUGGCCCAUGUUGCCCAUGUUGUUAAUAUUCAAAUACAAGUGUUAGUGAAACCAUACAUAUGUAACCAACCUGCACCAGCCUGGUGAUCUACCUUCUGAUUUCAGGGUUUCACAUACAUAUACCCACACGUAACUGAGGGCUAGCCAUGAGUGCCCCAUGCUUCACCCAUGGGGAAGGUCCUAUGGUUCACACCAUUUUGCAGAUAAGGACCUUGAGUGCUGGAGUGGUUAAGCAACUUCUGCAUAAUCCCCCAGCUCACACCCCGUGACUCAGUUUCUAGGCAGUCUUACACUAACUGCCAGUUCCACGUAGGUAGCAACUCUGCCCUCAUAAAGCGUCGAUCUCCCAUGCGCCAGCCCAGCUCAUGAUAUACAGGAGGUGAUCAGCAAAUACUGUGGGAUGACCGAGAGUCUAAUUCAGAUCCCUCACUUGAGGCUACUACUAUGUAAUGUAUGGAUCACAUAGUCUUCUCACUAAUCAUGUGAUUCAUGACAAGGCCAUGGCCUUCUGAGUAUGAAUAGAUGCUCAUAUACAACACACGUGCAUAUAAAUACAUCAUAUAAGAACACAUGUGCACACAGGUAUAUCACAUAUACAACAUGUGUGCACACAGAUAUAUCACAUGCACAAUACAUGUGCACACAGAUAUGUCACAUACACAACACAUGUGCACACAGAUAUGUCACAUACACAACACAUGUGCACACAGAUCCAUCUAUUUCACCUCCACUCCUGGAAUCCAGGGACAUCAGCUCAUAUCCUGUUGACCCUUGUCUCUGUCUUGCAUAAGGGUCAUUCAUUUCUAAGUUACCUGUCCUAUGAUACAGGGGUAAAUUCCCUGGUUUCCUUGGUAUCUCUUAUAUAAAAGGCAUUCCCAUUGGCUGAUCUGAUCUUGGUUGGCUAAAGCGAGUGGCUGUAGGUGUAGGAACUACGAUUAGCUCUCGUGAUGCCCCUGCCCUUUUAUCUGCAGUAAUGUUUUUCUUUCUGGUCACUGGUGCUAGCUCCAUGUCAAUGUGUUCCCCAGACCCAACAGAAGAGAAGUGGGAGGAGAGACGUAAGAGUGUCUCAGCGGUGCUCAACCAGCUCACGCUAGUGCCAGGCAGUGCGAGCUAUCUCAGUAGAGUUGAGAGGUGUCUCUGAGAUGACAAGGAUGCUACCCAGCCUCCCAUCACUUCCAGGAUGCCAUCAGGAAAAGACGCCCCUCCAGAGGAAAUGCCUAGCUCUGUAGAAUCCAGGAGGGCUGCUUGUUUAGUAAAUAUUUCAUCAAGAACAUUAGCUGUGGAGUUUGGAUGCUUAAGUAAUGCAGAUAAUGAAAUGUAAACAAUUAAAAAUUAAUAAUGUUUGAAAUGUUAAGCAUAAUUAGGCAGGCAGCGUGUCAGUAAUGAGGGGGUCCACUCGUGGUGACUGUCUAUCCAUCCACUCUCAUGGUUGUGCUCCAGGAGACAUAACCUGUCACACGGCCCAGGAAUCGUUCUAGGACUCAACCCUGUGCACGGAGUUGUGGGUAUGCGGGAUCUGCGGCUGUCUGCUGGCGGUAGUUCCCCCAGCGUGGGCAGCUUUACAUACAGCCUGCAUGGAACAGUGACUGGUGUGUUUGGCGAGGGGCAGAGGAGACUGUAUAAACAUUGCUGGAAAGCACCCUUCCAAUCAAAGGUGCUGGAGUUGAGGCAGGGGCGUGUAUACGUUUAUUUAGCGAGUCAUGUGGUGCAGACGGGCUCUCUGGGGACUCGUUCCAUUUAUCCUUUCCUUCUGCUCUGUGCUCUCAUCUUCAAUCAUCUCCCCUUUCUUCUCCAGUAGCUACUUUUCUUCAGUCUAAAAAUAAUACACUCAAGUGUCCUUCAUCUCACAAAGAGAAUUCUCUUAACAUGUCUCCCUAUAAAGGCAGCCAGCCUUCCCCUCUCCUUUCAUUCCUCAUCAGACUUCCUGGAAGAAUGCAGCACAUUUCUGACUUCACUCUCCCUGAAUUUCAUUCCCUGGUGGAGCAUCCAAGUGCUCUGUCUCUGUUUCUGUCUCUCUGUCUGUCUCUCUCUCUGUCUGUCUGUCUGUCUGUCUGUCUGUCUGUCUGUCUCUCUUUGUCUUUCUGUCUCUCUGUGUCUCUGCCUCUGUCUCUCUCGUCACCUAUGAUGUCUUAUUGGUUGAGCCAGUGACUUCCCUGUCCCCACUCUGAGGGACUGUACCCCAUCCCUCAGAAAUCCUCCCCUUUGAUCUCAGCCUUCACAUUUUUACAAUGUUCUUUUGGCCUCUCGUGACCAGUUUUUAGGUUUCUGGUCUAAGAACAUUUCCCCCUUAGUUCUUUACUUCUUCACACAGGACUUGCAAAUAAAAUUUAACAGAGACAGGAUAGCAAGCACGUGUGUAAAAUGGAGAGGAGACGCUGAAGAGAUGGAAAGCAACAGCAGUGGCCACAGCAAGUGGUGAUAAGGAAUUUUAACUUGUUUAUAUAUUUAUUGUUGGAGACGCCUGCUAUUGAGAGAGAUCUCAGUCCACUGAGUCCAGAUAGCAAUCCAAGCUCUGUGGAAGAUGGAGGAUGCCCUGGCUCAUCCCAGCUUCCCUUUCUCUACCUAACUGGUUGAGUGUCUCUGAGCACAGAUGUCUGACCUUGUUUGGAGGAUGUCCCUGAGCAGAGCUCUCUGCAAAUGCUGCAUGAUUUAGCACAUACGCCAUGUUCUAGCUUCCUGCCUAUAUGAUAAGUAAGGACUGUGCUGUGGCCAGUCAGCCCUUCCCACCUGUACUGCGAGAGCCCUUAUACACCUUACCCGGGGGGCCAUAAAGCGAGCUGUCUCACUGAAGCUGACUCCCUGACGUCCAUUCAUCAUACUCACUCAUGGCUGUCUGAACCCUGCUCGAUACCUCUGCUCUCUCUGCCUUGUGGGCUGAUGGCCAAUGACACCUCUAAAAAGAAGGGGGACCCACAAGAUUUUUUUUAAUUAAAAUUUCUAUGUAUUUUUGUGCGUGUGUGUGCAUUCGUGCAUGUGUGUGUGUGUGUGUGUGUGUGUAAGUGUGACAUGGCAUGUGUAUGGAGGUCAGAGUACAACUCUUAGGAAUAUGUCCUCUCCUUUACAAAGUAGGUCCCAGGGAUUCACCUCCAGUUGUGAGGCUUCAAUGCCAAAUCCUUCUACAUUCUCUUAGUUUCCCUUUUUGUUACUGUGGUAAAAGACCUUGACCAGAGCACUUUAGUGGAAAAAGUGCUUACCUGGUUCACAGUUCUGGGCUACAGCCCAUCCUUGUGGGAAAAUCAAGGUGGCGUGGACUUGAAACAGCUAGUCAUGGUACAUCCGCUGUCAAGAGCCAAGAGCAACAAAUCAGCACAUCCCUGCUGGCGCUUAGUUCAGUUUCUCCACUCUGCCCAGGGGACAGUGUCACCCACAGUGACAAAGAUAAGACCCCGCAGACCACAGACAGGGCCACAGCCCAACUUAAUCCAGCCAGUCCUCCACUGAGACUCCCUUCGAGGUGAUUCUAGGCUGCGCAGAAUUGACAACCAACCGUCACUCGUGUUGUCUUCUCAGCCACCUGCUGAGAUGUUGCCCAUGCUAUCACUUAAUAUUAUUCUUAAUGUUAAAGUUACAAACCUAUGCAUUUGAGUUGUUCUACUAUUUUUAGUGUGUAGUAUUAUAAAAGCCUAUACAGUAAAAACAAACAAACAAAAAACUAAGAUAACUGACAACCAAACCCACCCACCCCUUGGUUCUCUCCCUGCAGGGCUGGUUUAUUGCCUUUAUCUUUAUUCCUCUGAAUGCUUUGAAUUUUUUCUUGAAUUAUUGGUUUUGGCUACUAAGACCUGGCUCUUACAGCUCAGCUCAGGGUCUUAAAAGCUGAAAACAAUUAUUAUCCAUAAAGUUCUCAAUCGAGCAUCCUCAAGAACAUGCUCUAAAUGAACCUUGCUUGUCCUCCCCUUCUCUCCUGUAACACAUAAGCACACACAUGCCUGUACUCUUCCACACCCUGCUUUUCCUGUUUCCUGCCUUGUCACCUCAGGCAGCUUUUUGUCCCUCACUUUCUUCCUGGGUUGGCCCACAAUGUCUGUCUCCCUCUGAAAUGGCAUUUGCAUUCAGCUAGUUAGUAUAACUGCUGCUGCGUCCAACACCUGACAGAAGUGACUGAAGAGGGGAGGGGUUUGUUGGGCGCCUGGUUCCAUCUCUAAGGGCUGGGGAAACAUGGUGGUGACCAGUCAGUCCAUGUGAGGGUGUUUAUGGCAGCAGCUGUCACACAGCAUUGAUGAUAACCAUCAAAGGCCUGCCUCCAGUGACCCACUUCCUCCAGACGUCCCUUCUGCCCUAAUGUCAUAAAGCCAUCUAAAACAGCUGCCACCUGGGGACAGGUUCUUGAUCACAUGUGUGGUACUUUCGCAUUAAAAACUAUGACAUGGUCCUGUGUGUGACUCUGCAGCCACUGCCCUCAUUGAAGACCUCAAAUUCUGCCUAAAGAAAGCUGUCAACUGUUGCUCUCAGUGUCACCUUUUGCUUCAGUGUGUCUUCCACGUGAGCUUUCCAACAGAUGGACAGAUGGAUGGAUAGAGUGAAAAGAAUUGCCGAGAGGCCGAACUGGCUGAGUGGUGUUCUGAACACUGUUUUGGUUGGGAUGAGCCUUAGUUCCCUGGGAUUGUUAGUAAGGUGAAUGUCAUUGGUCAAGUGGCUCACGAGAAACACUUCAGACUGUUCUGAGAACCAUCUAAGUCACUCAUCGAAUAGUAGUUAAUGAUAGAUACAGCUAAUUUUCCGAGAUGAUGGCAUUCAUGAAUAGGUUGGAAAUAGGUUGGCCUGUGUUUGUUGAAUGAAAGAUACACACAUACAUGAGUCUCUUAUAACUGGUAGAGGAAUCUCCUUCAUACUUCCUAUCUAAAAAUCCUCUGCAAAGAAAGACACAUGGAGAGCAGGGUGGGGUUUAGUGGAUGGUUUUUUUUUUCCUACUUCUUUAGAGACCAAAUACUGGAUUGAAUCUGGGGAAAGCUGUGCACUUUGGAGUGGCCAGGGACCUGGAUAUGUUGUGUGGUGAUUGAUGGUUGUCGGGGGAGGUCUUGAACUUUAAGGCGGUGCUAUUCCCUCCUCAGGUCUCAGCUUCCUUCUAACGCUUCUGCUUCCAUAAUAAUGCUUCCUGGCUCUGACGUCUUAAAGGGUUAGUGCAGAAGAAACCAUUUUGGCUAUUUUAGCAGAGAGUUCAGUGUUUGACGAGUCAGGUGAUUUCUGGUCUUUGCUUUAGUGACAGCUCUCCUCAGACCCUCAGCUUCAUCUGGUAAGAAGUGACCGGAUGGAUUUGGGAAUGCUUAUUGUUGAGCAUGGGAGAAAUGCUAAACAUGGCAUGUCGAGGAAAUCAAUCUAAUACGCAUAUAUUAAGAGAAGCAGGGCUUAAUUGUACUCGUGGCUGCACCAGCAGGGGCUGGAGAGGGCUAGGCUUUAUAGGCACCCACUGUUCUCUGUAACUUGAAUUAAAAGGCAUCAAAAUGCCUUGGUCUACUGGUUGCUCUAGGCCUUUAUUGGAAACCCUGAGUGUUUUUCUAUAGAUCCUAGCACCAGAGGUCUGUAGUUCUUGUGAUAGCUUAGCAACCCAAGUUUUUGACCUGUGGGCAAUUUCUCCUCUACAAGGGGGAAAAGAAAAGAAAUUAACCAAAUAAUUUAAAUCUAACAACAAAGUAAUAAAAUGCCAAUUUCAUUCUGAAGUUAAUGGCAUUACUUCAAGUUAUUUAGCACUUCGUAGCAGAAUAACUCGCCAACCUGCACUUUGCAUAUACAUAUUUAUUGAAUUCACCAAGAGUGUGCUCUGCACAUUGACUGCCCAUGAUUUGUGCCUAAAUAAUAACUCCUGAAUAGAACUCACUGCUUUAUGGGUCUUUGGUGGGAUUUUUGAAAAAUAAAUUCUGCACAAGGGGUGGCAUUAAAAGGGAAAAAAAGAAAUAUAAUGUGAUUUUCCUCCUAUGCAGGCACAGCGUUAGCUUCCUUUUAUUAAUCCGAGCAAUGAAAAUCACUUUGACACAUUGUUGUUAUUUAUUAUUUAUUUUCACAUCUUUCUUUAAAAGGCGGGGUGUGUCCAUUUUAACACACUGCUAGAGUCUUCAGAGUCUGUGAGACUGAGUACACAGAACCAAGCCCAGGACGACACGCUGCGGAGCCAGCUCCUCACGCAACCAUGUUUAUUGCGUGCCCGCUGGCCUGGAGUGCAGAAGUAACUCCUAUUAAAUUAGCAAUCAAGCAAAGCAAAGCUUGAGUCACAGAACAACCCAAAGCACAAUGGGAUGAACGUGGUGACGGCCAACUCCUUGAGUGCUGUGUAUAGCUUUUAAAUGUUACCUACAAAUUUAUAAUGUCCCUGAUUAGCUUGAAAUGUCAAAAUCGUAGCUGAAGACCCCACAGAGGAUUUCUAAAGGGCGAGGUGCCUUUCCUUUCUUUCUUUUUCUUUUUGCUUUGCUUUCUUCUUUUCCCUCCUCUAGAUUCGUCAGAACUAGCUAGCAAAAGCUCCCCGCUUAGCCUGCUAAUGACUAUCAGAAAUAUUCACAGUGUUCCCUGGGUUUCUUCUCUUCUCGCGUGGUCAGGCUUUAACAUGCAGUCCUUAGUCUCAGCCUAAUUACUCACAUUUGAAGCGGGAACCUCACAUCUGUCACAAAGCUCUUAGGCCACUUUUAGGAAGGCCUUGCUGUCAACAACAGGAAGUGGGAGGAGGGGUUGGGGGUGGACUCUCUUAUCUCAGACAAUAUGUGGAAUUGCACCUGACUGACAAAGCCACUGAAGAAGCUGGUGAUAAUAUUAUUACAGUAGCUACCAUAUGUCUUACAUCAAAUGCGGCUCUAGCUUUAUCAUUUUCACUGGGGCUCUCUAGAAGGAGAUGGGAGAGAGCUGCCGCAGAGAUCUGGCUCUCCACUGAAAUGCAGGCUUCCUGCUCCUCUAUAAAGGAAACAACUAAAACUCCAUUUGCAUCAAGAACCGAGAGCCCUAGGUUAAUUACAGGUAAGGGUAUGUUUACAUUCCCCAGGGCUAGCUACUGACAGGUUUUAUUUCUGAGGGAAAAAAAAAAAUGCUGCUGCAGUUUGACUAAAUCCACAGGUCUUUUUUUUUUUUUCCACUCUUAAAAUUCUGUGUGGCCGAAAGGAACCCAUCACUCAAAGAUCUUUCAAAGGUAACCUGGAAAACCUUCAUUUUCCAGAGUCUGAAUGCAGUUAGAGAACCCAAAGUUCAGACCCGGAAGCCUAAACAAAAGAAGACAUGGGAGGUCGAUACCUUUGUGAGGCUCAAAAGAGGGCGGGUGGCCUCGGGGCAUGAUGAUGGUGACAUAAUCGGCCAAUUAAAACCUUGAGACAAAGUCUGAGCCAUACAGGUGCAGAGCCCAGGAUGCUGUGAGCUAAGACUAGUCAGCCGGACAAUAGUAUCAAAGAGCUAACUUCCCAGGUGGGUAACAUGCUUGCUUUGAAAGGACCAGGACACGUGCUAGAUCCCAGAACAGAUGUAAAAAGUAGGGAGAGGCAAUGUGCACUUGCAAUCCAGCACACAGGGAGACGGAGACAGGCGGGUCGCUGGGGCUGACUAACAAACCUCUUCAAGGCCAGUGAGAGGACUUGUUACAAAGAAACAAACAAAAAGAUGGGUGUUAUCUGAGGUAUGACUGCUAAGGUUGUCCUCUGAUCGCCACAUACACACACCACUUCCCACAUCUGCAAGGCUUCUAGCUUCAUCCCUUUCUUUUCUUUCUUCCUCCCUCUCUCCCUCUUCCCCUCCCUGCUGUGGAUGGCUCUAUGCUGCUUGCUCUCUCAGGACAGUAAUGUACUCAGGUGGCUUCUUGUGAACCAAUCCUCUAAUGAAUAAAGGAGCCAAUCACUGGGCGAGUAGGCGGGACUUCCGGGUUGGACUGAAGAAGAGGGCAAAGCAGGAGAGAGUUAGGUCCUCUUUGGAACAGACUGCAGAGGGGUAAGGUGUAGCUGUUAGAGUUUCCCAGGCCAUUGCCCACCAGCCAGCCAAGAGUUAGAGGCACAAGUGCGGGAGCAUGAUGGUUCUUCAUUUUUUAAUAUUUCCCACAGCACCGCCCUCCCUCUUUUCCUCUCCCUCUUCCUCCCCUCCCUCUCUCCCUCUUUUCCUCCCCCUCUUCCUCCUCUGUCCUUCCUUUUCGCCUAGUACCAGAGGGAAUGAUGGAUCAGCCAAGCUAACCUUAGCAACUGUCAGGGCCGUAGCUCCUCUGUAGGUUGUUAAGUUACUUCUUUAGGUUUAGAUUCAGUUUUCCAAAGCCACGAACCACAGAUACGAUGCCACAGGCUUUCUUGCCCAGCCAGCCAUGAGCUAUUUAGCUGUCACUUUGUACCUGCAAGUCCCCAGGGACUCUAGAUUUAGCAGUGGGAGCCAGUCUGUCUCUUGCCAGUCUCUGACCACCAUCUCUGUCUCUCCUGGUGCUCACUUCUUUGCCUUUAGCACUCCUAGCCACUGACAGACAUUCUCACAUUGACCUGUUUGUGUAGUGAUUCAUGUUUGCUUCCUCACCCCCCCCCUCCCACACACACACCUGUGCACAAGCACAGCUUCGUUCUGAAGUGGCCAUUCUUGUCUAGAGUGGAUGAACCAAGUAUCUAAUCACUGAGGCAAACGGUAGCUUGUGAUCUCAGGAGGCCUGGGCACUGGCUAUGGAUGCAGCCACUGUCAGAACACUGGCUUCACACAGAUGGCCUAGACAUGGGGAGUGUUUUUAAUGCAGGCCAUUUCUCUGGAGAAGAAAUAAGACAGAAAAUAAUGCCAAGUUCGCCACAGGCACCUGAAGAAAAACUAUUUGUCUUUGAAGGGUGUGAGGCAGAAACCAUAUCCAGCAAAACCUUUGUCAGAUAAAACUGAAAGAUAAGGUCUGCCCCCCACCCCCUUUGUUUUAAUUUGUAGAUAGAAACACUGGGAAUUAAAAGACAUUCUACUGAGAAGGUAGGUACUCUAUCCUACGUAAGGAGUAUCUAUUCCAACGAUGAGUAGUGGUAUAUACCUAUAAUCUCAGACCUUGGGAGACAAAGGCAGGGGUUUUUGGAAAAGCCAGGUCCACACGGAAUUCUACAUCAGCCAGCACUGAAUAGGAAGACCUAAUCAUAAACAAACAAAUAAAUCUUUUGUAAGCAGAGCCCCCACCCUGUUCCAUCUGAAGACUACAGUUUCCCCUUAUUGUGAUUACUCUAAAUCAAGACAUCUCAAGACCCUAGGUUUUGUUUUUGUUUGCUUGGUUUUUGUUUUGUUUUGUUUUGGCCAAGAUGUUUAUGACCACAGUCAACUUGAUGAGAUUGAGAAUCAUGUAGGACGUUUUAAAAGUGUACCUCUUGUGUGUUUGUAAAGGCAUUUGCAUUGCAUUGACUCAGAAGGCUGUGGUGUAAUGGAUGGAUUGGUCCCCUGAUGGAGUCGUAACAUGAUGGCAGGAAGUGAAAAGGAGGAGGUGGGGCCUAGUUAGAGGAACUGGGUCAUUGGGGACAUGUCCUUGGCCACUAGCUAUAUCUUGGCCUGACCCCUUCCUUCAUUCCAGGUCUGCUUUGUAUUAUCCACAAGAUGGGAGACUUUACCACACGCUUCUGCAGCCAUGAUGGCUGCCUCACCAGGUCACAGACUCAGCAGGUAGAAACCAAGAGCCAAUGGAAGUUACCAAUGAAGCUGUUAAAUGGUGGUCUUCCCAAGAGUCCAGGGAGCAGUUAACUCUACAGGAAUUGUCCAAGUUCAGAUUUCUGAAUCUGUUGGAAAUAAAAACCCAAUCCCUUCACCUUUGAUUCAGAACUCUCAUAGGGAUGCUCAUUUCCUUCAUCCGUAUGAGAUUCUCAAACCCUUAGAAGCUAGGUUCUACUCAUCAAGCAAGAUCCUCCUUGUGUUCAGCACACACACACACACACACACACACACACACACACACACACAUACAUUCCCCCCUCCCAAAUCUGGCUCCUACUGACAGUUUUAGUCAUUCGGUGGUGGUGCCAUUUUCUACAUAGGAACUCUCCCUCCUGGUGGGAGCAGAGAGACUCAGGAAGUUCAAGCAACUUACAAGGCUCGAAGAACUCAUUAGACUUGGGAAGCCUAGAGGGUGGUAAGGUUCACAGGCGUCCUCUCUCCCUGCUGAAAUAGAAGCUAUGAGAAACUGCAGAGCAAAGCAGAAUCUCAGGAGGAACUGACUCUUUUCUUGCUGUCACUGGCACUGGGGUGGGGGAGGGGGGCUUUCUGGUGAGGCAGCUCCUUUCCUGUCCUCAGAUCAGAGAAGCCUUCAUGCCUGUCCUCCUUGCUUGGGUGAUAAUCCACGUCUUAGUUAGGAUUUUACUGCUGUGAACAGGCACCAUGACCAAGGUAACUCUUAUAAAGACAAUAUUUAAAUGGGGAUGGCUUACACGUUCAAAGGUUCAGUCCAGUAUCAUCAAAGCGGGAACAUGGCAACAUCCAGGCAGACAUGGUGCAGGAGGAGCUGAAAGUUCUACCUCUUUAUCCAAAGUAAGCCAAGGAGCAGACUAUCUUCCAGGUAGCUAGGAGGAAGGUCUCAAAGUCCACCCCCACUGUGAAACACUUCCUCCAACAAGGCCACAGCCCCUCCAACAAGGCCAUGCCUCCUAAUAGUGCCACUCUCUGUGGACCAAGCAUAUUCAAACCGCCACAGCCCAUUUCUAUCUCAGAUGGACAGCUGCUUUAGUUCCUCUUCAAGGCCAACAAACACAAUGAUCUCUCUUUCUGAAAAACCUCUGUUCUCCAUCACAUGCCCUCCCUGCUUUCUCAUUCAUGGCUCCCUUAUUGCUGUCUAGCUUCCUGUAUCUUGUUGAAUCGCUAAUCCUUCCCCAAGUUAGAUGCUUGAGCUUUCAUUUUUUAAAAAACAUUUCUUGCAAGUCACCUACACACAGGAGCAGGGAGCUGUGAUCAUGUAGAAGAAAACGCCUUCGAUGUUUGCCAUUUAUCUUUAAUCCUUUUCCCAAAGAACCUACUAGAAAAUACUGUAAUUAAUUCAUCAGAGUUUCACUCUUCCCUCCAUCUAUUCUGGGGGGGGGGGAGAUGAGGGUAAGGAAAAAGGAAUCAUAAUAAUAAGCCAUUAAAAAUUGACCAUAUGCAUUUACAGUGACUACUACUGCUAGUCCCAAAUACGGAUUAUAUAUAAAGCUGCCAUUUAAGGACUUCACAGGGCAAAAGACUAAGUGACCGGCGGAUUUAUUGAUGCAGAGAAUGCUUGACCUGCAUUUUGCACCAGAGUUGCAAGUGAUUUAUACAUACAAGCAACGUCAUAUCAACACUGUCAGUGAGGUGCUACUAUGGUGAUGCUGACUUUGCUAGAUAAUAAGGCCAGAGUUGGAGUAAAUGGCCAAAGGCUACAGAAGCAGUGGGGAGCGAUCAGUCUUAGAAGGGUCAGCCUGCCUCCUACCCUAGCCUCUUUCUUUCCAUCAAGUAGCAAAACAGACAGACAAAAACCAAUUUUUUCAAGGCAGGGUUUUAUGCAACCCAGGCCAGCCUUGAACUCACUAUGUAGCAGAGGAUGAGUUUAAACUCCUGAUCCCCCUGCCUCCACCUUCCACAUGCUGGGAUUGCAGGUUUGUACCAUUAUGAUGGGCCGACCCUAUAACUUUGAGUCAUCCAGUAGCUAUGACAAUGCUUUAAAGAACCUGGUAAAAUUAACUAUAGUAACAUAUUUAUUAAACCCCAAAUGUCAGAAAUAAUAAUAUUUUACAUAAGUAGUGAUACAUUUUCUGAAAAUAUCUUCUGCCCUCAAAGAGGCUGAACUUUUGUCAAAUCUUGCAGCCAAGUUAGUAAUAUGCCUUGAGAGCAUUCAAAUCUGUGGACUUAACCUGCUGCCCUACUGUGUACUCAGCCUGUGUAAGUUUACCUGCUUUUAAGAGAACGAUGUGACCAACCUUUCUAUGCCUUGGAUUUCCCACACAACCAGCGUUACAACCUAAACUAAUGCAUAGCAUUAAUAUCAACUAUGUACUUCUUACUGACCCAGAAUGAGUGUGUACGCAUGUGUGUGUGUGUGUGUGUGAGAGAGAGAGAGAGAGAGAGAGAGAGAGAGAGAGAAAGAGAGAGAGAAUCAUUUACUGAAAAUGUCGACAGGCUGAAAGCAACCUCAAACAAAACAAAUAGCCACCACAAGGGUUGGACUAUAGAUUGAUAAUGUCUAUGAGUACUAUUCUGAGUGCUAUACUGGGUCAGUGAACUACCUCCUUCCCUUGUAAAACUGUUACAGAGUUUGUUCUGCAAAGAAUCCCUUGUUCUUCCCCAGCGCCAUGUUUUCUGUCCCAUUUGAUAAAUAAAGCCCUUUGUUAGGGACAGGUACAACAAACAAGUGACAGGAAACUAUCACAAAUGCACACACACAUGCCCACAUACAUGCACACACAUGCACACACCCACACCAGAUAGCCUAUAGACAGGCCAGUAACCACAGAUUACAGACAGGAAACCAAUGGAGAGAAGAGGGUUUUUAAAAUUUGGUCUCACUCUCAAGCAAACUCCAAGAGGAACUUUCUGUUUCAUUCCUAAACGUGAGACCAACAUAGUUUCAUAUUUUGCAUGUAAUCGAUCUACUUAGUAAGCUAGUUUAACUACAUUGUCAAAGCUGGUGUGUGGUUUAUGAUUCUGGUAUGCACAUGGUGGUGACAACUGCAUGUGACUGGUGGCUGCCGUAAUGGGUCACCCCGCUUUACACCACACUUUUCUAGAACACUGUCCUGUCGAUAGCAAAGCCCCAGGCUUUAGCUGCAUUUGCUUUUUAAUAUGAGGCGAUGCUUUGUGCAUUCAACCUGAAACUUGAAGGCGCAUGGGUUGGGCAAACAGCUACUGGGUUAGUCCGUCCAUCUGACAUGACGUGUUAGGCACGAUUUAAAGAAUGCCAAGUGUUCCCUUUCAGUAACAUUUGCCAGAGCGUGAUUCUGGCCUGGCAUACUAUAACGGGAAUGGCUGUAACGCAUUACGUCACACAGACAGUUGGCAAAGGAUGGACGUGUGAGUUCAGCCUUCAUGAGGAAUCCCAUUAGGACAAGGACGUUGACCUUUGUUUCCUGUUCGCUCCCUGCUCUGAGGGGAGGAGGGAAGCAUCUGAGCUCCGGGUAAAACCUGAAACUAUUCUCUCUCCUUCCUUGGUAGUGGACAUGGCGCAGGAUAAAUAACUACCAAACGAUGAACAGGAAGCCUGUCUCAGGCUUGCUCUGCCCACGCUUACUCAGGGUAUCCCCAUCCCAUCAAGCAUCAAAGAGGGCACCACUCUUCACAUGGCUCCGAACUGGUCCUCACAGUACACAGUUGAUCUUCUAAAGGGCAGCGUGACACCCAGUGUUUACAAUUAUGCCAGAAUCACAAAUAAGCAACUUUUAUAGUUUCAGGAACAACCUCUACGGAUAACUCAUUAAUCAAACAUAAGUGCUUAGAGAAUGUGAUAAUGCCAUACAUUAGACAGGCAUAAAGGAGACGGUGACAUUUUAUUCUUGCCAAGAGGAACAAAAUGAGGUAGAGAUGAUUGGAGACCCACAGUUAGGGGUGAAGAAAAAAAAAACAUGUCGCAUCCCAUGAAAACAAAGGCACAAAGGAAGAACAUGGAGGCCCCAUUGCAAACACAAGGCCGUGGAACCGCAGAUUGAAUGUUAUGUAUCACAGUUCUGUCAAGAGAGAGAAUUCUCCACCCGGGGCUAUUUUUCUCAAUAUGCAUGCAUGCUUUUACAUUGUAGAGUUGGUCCUUGGUCAGUCUUGAUCACUUUCCCAACAGUGACAAGAGAAAAGUGGUCUCACUUGGCUGUUGAGUGAGGACCACAACUCCUCUGUGUUUUCCGCCAUCCCCUCUGCGCUCUCUGAUCCAGCACUAUUUAUAGUCCUGAGAGGCUGAAAGUCUGUCCGUGCGUGCAACAACAGAGAAGCAAUAGGAUUUCUAAAAUACAUUUGUGUAUCCAUUAAAAUAUUACCUGAGAGUCUUUAAGGAUGUAGGAAGAGACACGUCUUACAGGCACAAAGCCUGAAAUGAAAUCAUUAGGUACUAUCUGAAGACAUUACGAUCUCUAUAUAGGGACUGGAGUUGUGGCCCAGUUGGAAGAGAGCUUGCACUACAUAAUCUAGACGUGAUGGCACAUGGCCACUCGUUCUGGCACAGGCAGAGGCAGGUGGAUGAGCGGUUGAGCAUCACCUUCAGUUACUUGGGGAAUUUGAGGUCAGUCAAGGCUAAAGACUCUUCUAAAAAAAAAAAAGAUGAAGUGUUUUAUACACAAACUUAAAAACCAUUGUGCUGUAGGGACAUCUCAGCUUGGGGCAGUAACACAGUUAAAGUACUUGCCCAGCAUGUUUGAAGUAAUGUGUUCUACCCACCAGUACUCCACCCUUUCUCAGAAGGAACAUCCUAACUGAAGAGAUAACAGACACAUUGGGAAAUAUUUGCAAUAUGUGACGAGCAAGGCAUAUGGAUUUUUUAACAUGAAAUAAAGGUUCACAAGGCAGUUUUAAGCUUGAUAAAAAUUUCAACUUAAAACAGGAAGUUUUCAAAGUCGAUGAGUAGUGAGUGUAUGGGGACAUGUUUGAGGGGGUAUGGUGAUGUCUCAGUGAAUACUUGCUGUGCAAGCACAGGGUACAGCCGGAUCACCAGAAUCCACACUUAUAAAAGCUGGGCGCAGUGAUACAUGCAUCUAAUCCCAGUGCUGCAGACACAGGUGAAAGCAAGUCGAUGGUCAUCCCUGGAGCCCACUGAUCACACGGCCUGGCCUAUUUCAUGAGUCAGGGAGAGACCCUUCUCAAAAGAAAACCACAAAACUCAAAAAUAAAUGCCCGACAAAUGGCUGUUAUGCUUGCCCUCUAGGCGCAUGUCAGUCUGUAUACAUGGGGCACUAGCACCCAAUUGAUUCAGUCAAGCAUGAAGACUAGGCCCAGGAAUCCUGCAUGCAGUGCCCUAAAGAGCUGUGUGUGUAGGUUCCUGAGACUUGGUGACACCAGGGCUGUGAGCUACAGUGUGUCUCUUUAGGUCACAGACAUCUCUUCUAGGGAGGUUUGUCUCUUGUGAUCUCAUGAAGUAUUAGUUUUCAAGUACCAAACAGGCAAAUUUUUGAAAUAACACUUUGUUUCCCAUGGACUUAAGAAUAGAAGAAAUGGCCACUUGCAUUAACUGAGCCACGAGGAGCAUUAGAACCUCAGUGUACAUUUGUGUAUUUACGUUUAAAACACUCAAGGAUGGAAUGUACGUUACUGGAUGUACAUGCCACUUGGAUUGCCUGCUGACUACCUGUCUUCUUUCCUGCCUACCUGCCUGUCUGUCCACUUUUCCUCUUUAGCAUGUGUGCAUGUGUGUCUGUCUGUCUGUCCACUCAUCUCUCUCUCUGUGUCUCUCUAUCUCUCUGUCUCUGUGUAUAUCUCUGUCUCUGUGUGUGUGUGUGUGUGUGUGUGUAAGCAUACACAAGCCACAGUGAAUGUGUGGAGGUCCUGCAAUCAAUCUCAGGCCACCAUACUACCAUACUUUGCUUUUCUUGUCCUGAUAUAAAAUAUUGGCUGGAGAAAUGGCUCAGUGGUUAAGAGCACUGAUUGCUCUUCCAGAGGUCCUGAGUUCAAAUCCCAGCAACCGCAUGGUAGCUUACAGUCAUUUGUAAUAGAAUCCAAUGCCCUCUUCUGGUGUGACUGAAGACAGCUACAGUGUACUUACAUAUAAAUAAAUAAAUAAAUAAAUAAAUAAAUAAAUAAAUAUUCUACUUAGAUGGUCAUAUCUAAUAACACAGGCUUUGGAACUUAGCACAUCACAGUGAGAAUGUCUGUUUCUUGAACUCUCACAGUAAUAGACAGAAGAACUUGGCAUUGGUUUGAGGAUGUUAGUGAUUGACAGCAGAUCACGGGCUUGGUUCUGGCCCAUUCCAUGCUAUGGCCUUCAAGCAGGAGUGACUCUUGUAUAAAACGUAAAACUAUCUUUGGUUAUGAAUUAGUAAAUCUAAGCAGAUUGUCAGAAUCUGUAAAGAAACAAGGUUAUCCAAGUCUUACUUGUUUUACUUUCAAACCACAUGAACGAAAUCUAUGUUGACUGCUCAGGGAUCUACACUAGGCAGAAAUGAGUGGACCCAAAGACUGCACGUUCCUCAGUUCUUGAAGAUGUCAUGGGUUCCCCUGGUUACCUUAGCUAAGAUCAUUCUCAACCUGAAAUGGUGGGCAUUUGACCUCCUGGGAUUCUAGACACUAUAGCCAUUGAUGUCCCCCAGUGAUGGGGUGUUAGGGACCAUGGCCAUAUAUGGAAGUCCUUGAGAAGCCAAAGAAAAAUGUUUAAACUAAUCUCUCUAUAAAGAAGUCAUUGCAGAAAAUUGAGACACACAGAAUUCUAGACAGUGUAUAGGAUGUUUUGAUGCUCUCCGGGAAGUCUGAUAAAUGUUAGACAUAAAGAUUGAUCUCGUGGACCUACCACCAUUCAAUGAAUACUCCACACUUCCAUACGAAGUUCUAGUGACUGCUACAUCAAAAUGCAUGGGCUGGACUGACUACAAGAGAGCUGACUUGAAUGGACCUUCCUGUUAGAGACAUUGUCCCCACAUGCUCAGGGGAUGGAGCAAGCCUUCAGUGUUCUGCUGUGGGCUUCUCAGAUUUAUAUUUUGAGUGAAAGGCCCAUGGAAAUGAGAAAGGAGUAAACAGACCCAAGUUUGUGCUUUUUGGGGAUAAAAGUAGUCUCUCACUCAUUGGGAAGUACAGGGUCUCAGUUCUCAGUUCAAGCCUGGGAUUAGGUACAUGGACACACACACACACACACACACACACCCACACACACCCCACACAUACACACACACAUACCACAUAAACACACACAUACACACACAUGCACAUACACACACCACACAUACACACAUGCAUACAAGCACAUACCACACACACACCCCACACAUACACACACACCCCACACAUACACACACACAUACCACAUAAACACACACAUACACACACAUGCACAUACACACACCACACAUACACACAUGCAUACAAGCACAUACCACACACACACCCCACACAUACACACACACCCCACACAUACACACACACAUACCACAUAAACACACACAUACACACACAUGCACAUACACACACCACACAUACACACAUGCAUACAAGCACAUACCACACACACACACCACAUACACACGCACACACCUGCUUCCCCAACCCUGCAGCCAUCUAUCUCUCUCCUCUUUAGUAUCACAGUGGGGCUGAUUCCCCCCACUCUGUUUUGAUGCUCAUCUUAGUAUGCUCACGCUGCGUUUAUUUGACCAUGUUUUCUGUAAGACUUUCACUCGAUACAUUUGCUAAGGGCCUGGAGUGCAGCAUGUAGUAACUUUGCUUUGGAAUGGCACAUUAAUUUUUAAAGCGGACACAUUACAGUUCUGUGAAUAUCUGUGUAGUAUUUACUAGAUGUGACAGUGCAUGGUAGGACCUUGGAAUCACGCUUUUUCCAUCAUUCUGUGUCCAACCCAGAAGCUGAACCUCUGCAGGACUAGAGACUGAGUGAUAACUUCACUAUUCAUGUCUAGUUGGCAACUCAUGCCUCCCAUCUGGGCUGCUCCACAUCCUGUCCCAUGGCUAUAAAGUUCAUAUCUACCCUUCUCUGAUAGCCCCCCUAGCCCCCAUCUUCCUUAUAUCUUUGCUUUGCAUUAUGUCAAGUUCAAAACUUUAAAACUCAGCUUCUUUCGAAAUAAGUGUAGACUCUAAUACAGUUCUGAAGAAGAGUACAGAGAGCCUGUGUUAUGCUACACUAACAUUCCUUGCUAGUAGCACCUUGCAAAUGCAUACUCCAGGGUGUCUUAGCCACAUAGUAACAACAUGGACAGCAGCUAGAUACAAAACAUUCCCGACUCCUUUUGGUGGCACUUUUCCAGAGUGGCAUCCUUCUUCUGCCUGUGGAUUCUAGUUGCCCCAGCACUUUGUUGUCCAUGCUGAAUUUCAAACUGAAUGGCUGCGGCACUAUUUCUGGGCACUCUGUUCUGUCCCCCUCUGUCCACCUGUCUUGUGAUGCUGUGUCAUUUGGUUACUGUAGCGCUGUGUCAUUUGGUUACUGAGUUCCACUGCACAGGGUAAGUGUUCUCCCCUGAUUGCUUUAGAAGGAGGUUCCAGCUGCUCCAGGACUCUGCCUUCCCCUGUAGAUUUUAGCAUUGGCUUCUCAGAGGCUACAAAAUUUUUGCUGUGAUCCGAUUGGAAUGGCAACCAACCAGUGGAUUGGGGGACAAUUCACAGGUACAAUGUCGACUUUUCCGUGAGUACAGCAGGCCUCUCCCUAGAU